rnacentral:misc_RNA from 1 species
AAAACCACUCAAGCUGUUUUGCUUGGUCAUGGAAGAAGAGUCCGCUUUGCCCGGUCUCCCUUCCGAAAUACAAUGGCGGAAGGUCUCUGGUACCCGGCGUAGUAAUAACUGUUCGCCUUGUGUCUCGAGAUGUUUCUGCCGUCAAACCCCCAAUUCUUCUUA